rnacentral:pre_miRNA from 1 species
UUUAUACUCCUCCGUCCCAAAAUUCUUGUCUUAACUUUGUUUAGUAAUGGAUGUAUCUAAAUACUAAAACUUAACCAAUACAUUCAUAUCUAAACGAAUCUAAGACAAGAAUUUUGGGACGGAGGGAGUAUAUG